UCCCUGAUAGCUCAGUUGAUAAAGAAUCUGCCUGCAAAGCAGAAGACCCUGGUUCAAUUUCUGGGUUGGGAAG
rfam:TPA: Bos taurus chromosome 10, whole genome shotgun sequence.